AUAUAGUUUUUCCGCUGCCGCAAAAUCGGCAGCCGGGCGUGAGAACCCGAGUA
rnacentral:ncRNA from 1 species